rnacentral:rRNA from 1 species
GGGUCAGUAGGUUGGUCGUGCCACCGGUACGUACUGGUCUCACUGAUUCCUCCUUCCUAAAUAACCGUAAUGCCAUUAAUUUGGUGUUGCGGGGAAACAGGACUGUUACUUUGAAAAAAUUAGAGUGUUUAAAGCAAGCUAACGCUUGAAUACAUUAGCAUGGAAUAAUGAAAUAGGACGAUCGAUCCUAUUUUGUUGGUUUCUAGGAUUGACGUA